ACAUACGACCAUAGCUCGCAGAUAAUUGAGGGUCCCGUCCGCUCCCCUGAACACAAGCUGCGAAGCGUCAGACUAGUAGUUGGGUCGGUGACGACCAGCGAAUCCCUGGUGUUGUAUGUU
rnacentral:rRNA from 1 species